AGCAAAAGUGAGGCUGUGAAGGUUUUAUCUUAAGUAGCACAGUCAUUACCGUGUGAUCAAGUGAGGAAAGGGCCGAGCAGAUAGCUACGCUGGCGUGCUGAAUGGCUCACCGCAGCACCGUGCACACAGUUUAUUGUUUUCUUAGCAACCGCGACGCGGUGGACAUCUUACAGCCAAAAUAGCCCUGGCUCCAGCUCCCAGAAGAUUACAGCCUGGUCAGUGCGGGAAAAUCCCUGUGACUUGGUGUAGGGACCGUUGCCAUCAGAUUAGUGAAUGCUUAAGGUAAUAAAUCAGCUGCUGAAAUAAGGUUAAAGAAGGCAAGGAGAUAGGGAGCUGAUGGAAAGUAAUAAAUGGACGUAGAAAUCAGGUAAAGGAAAGAAGGUCUCUGGGCUGAGCUGAGCAGUUGCAUGGACAAUAAAAUACUACACAGCAACUGAGAAACAUCUUUUCCUUAUAAUGUCCACUUUGUGAGGCUACUCAACUGCGACAAGAGAAACACAUAACUGUUCUAAAGGGUCUGGCUCCAGGAAAUAGAUGUUUUUUUUCCUAUGAAAGCAAGUGCAUGUUUUCUUAUUUUCAGGAGCUAAUUAUAACUCCAGUCCAUGCUGUUGGGAUGGCUUUGACCGCUUUGCCCUGAUAACUGCAGUUUAAAGUGUUAAUGUGGCAGUUAAAGAUCACGGAAUGCUUGCAGCGCUCUCAGCCUGUCCCUCAGAACAGCACCGAAAUAGCCGCGUCAGUUCCAAUCGUCGGUCUGGUUGUUAGAAGCGUUCAUAGCCACUUUUUGACAAAGUGCGCCACAGUACCAAGAAAUUACCCUGUUACAAUAUACUGGGGAAGAGAUGGGCCGUCCAUCCGUGGCUGGAAUGCUAAAUAUCUUGUUACAAUUCCUGUGGGAUGUAUGCUCUUCAGUGUGGAUUUCAGAGACCCCUUUCACAAAAUAUCUGGAAGUCUGAUACUGUGAAAAAGCUUCUGAAUUUACACAUUGCAACAGAAGAUGGUUUAAAGAGCGUGCAAAGUAAAUGGCUGGUUGUCCUACUGAGAGAUGCUUCCAUGGAUGUGGCAGGUGAACAAAGAAAAGUGUCCUUGCAAUGAAAACCCCAAAGUAGGAGCAGGCCUGUGGUCCUUUCUGGAAAUAAACAACACACUUGCCAUGCUGAGUCAUGUAGAUCUGUCACCAAAGAAAAGAGUGUGGAAAAAGCUUGAAGCCAAGGAAAAAACUCUCACUCCUGGAAAAGACUUAUGAAUUUGAAUUAGAAAGGCUUUACGCUUCUUUGUAACCUGGUGCAGAAUGUAUGGUUGUCUUCUCCCGUGGUGAGUGAUCUCAUGGAAUCAUUAAUGUAAAAUGUGUAGGAAUUUCCAUGUGAAAGAUUCUAUCAUCUGUUCCAGGAGAAACCCAGAAUUUGUAUGGCUGGAAUGCACUUCUGUAUAACAACAGUAAAAGGCUUUCUUGUAAGUGUCUCAUUUUCUGCUUUGCCUCUGCUGCUAUUUAGGAUAAUCCUAUGAAGACCUCCAACAUGCUUAUGGUAAAGAUAAACUAGAAUUGCAUGGACUUUGUUAUUCUCACUUGUCAAAAUUCUUUCUAGUCUUUCUCUUGGGAAAAACAGUAAUAAUAAUAAAUUUCAUUGUAUGUCAUUUUCUCUCCAAAGGUGUAAAAUGAUCAGCCCUAACUAGAGCAAGUGAAAUCAAAACUCCAGUGCUAAAAUUCAUUCAGUCCUGGCUAGUCCCAUAUGAACCUAUAUCUAAUUAAACCCAAAUUGUUUUCAGUGAAGCAGAUAAGAUGAAUGGAAGAAAACCAAUUUCUUACUACUCUCAGGUGAAUACGUUGGUAGCACAGCCAGUGAAUACCAUGUACUGGAAUCUUUGGAGAGGCAGCAGCAAGCUGUGUUGCUGGUCAUGCUGGGAAAAUGCCUGAGAAUUAUUGCUCAUGCCCUCAAUCUCUACAUGUCUCAUGCCUGGGGGCAGAGUUCCCUGCUAGAGUUGUCUUUGACAGAUAUAUUACAAUAAAAAUCUUUGGGUCUUAGGCAUUUUAAGAGGCCAGUCUUAAUUUUCUAAAUAAUCAAAGCUACCUAUAUUCAAAGAAGAACUUGGUGAUCACCCCUUUGCUAAUGAAAUUCAGCAGUCUCUGCCUUUCAUGGCAUUUUUCCUGUUUCACAGUUUUGGAAAUGAGUGCAGAAUCAGGCCUUGACAGCCUUUUCCCUUCUCCAAGCUUACUCAUAGCAGUAAUUAGCAUUAACCAAGCAAUUGGCUCCUUGGCAUCAGAGGUUUCACGUCAAAAGCAGCAAGUCUGUGAUUUCACUGCCUGCUCACUCAUCCAGGGCUAUGAGGUGGAAAUGAUCUUUAUUCAACAAUUAAUUUAAAAACAAAAACAAAACAAAACAAAAACCCACCAUGAUGAGUAUAGUAAACAGCAUUUCUUCAAAGGCUCUUCACAUUCACUCUACCCUCUGCAUAAUCCUUCUUUCAUAAUCUUUACCAAAGAAAGGGCUAUAUAUUUGCAUUACUCCUCUGCUCAAGCACAUCAGCACCACCAGAAUAAUUUAGAUGAACUACAGCCUUCUAAGGUAACAGCAGCAUGUAGCUAGGCAACCAAAAAGAAUAUAGUAUUUUUUCAGGAAGGAGGGCUUUCCUAGAUGAUCUCAUGCGGAUGCAGUGCUCUUUCCCUUAUAAGAAGAAAACUGCUCAUUGGAAAAAUGAGUCUAUCAUCCUGUCAUCAUCAAGUCAUAUCGAUGUAUAGGCUUCUGUUGAUGAACUGGCAAAGAAAAUAACGAUGCAUUGUAUGCCGUGUCUAUUUAUUUCUCUAUAUUUGUUAAAUAUUUGUAAUUUCAUUUAUGAAGGCUAAAAAACUGAAAUGAUUUUAUGGCAGAUUUCAUUAACCACAAUCCUAAUUAGAAUUGAAUGCUUCGAUAAUUACUAAGUCAGCUGAAAUAAAUUGUGUGUCACUUCAGUAGGAAUUGUCAGCACUGAAAAGGAGAUUUUGCUAGUGGAGGAGGCACCUGGUUAUGUGUCCUGUCUAUGUAGUGACAGAAUGGUUGUGAGUGGUGCACGCUGGUUUUACGAGUCUGAAGGGGUUCAGGUAAGGGAAAACAAAAAAAAAUUGAUCAGGACUAACAGGGGCAGCACAGGCACUAUUUGCCUUCGUACCCCAAGCAGACAGGUAGGACAAGCACCUCCCCAUCUGACAGGCGCAGUCACCUUCUGCUGGGUGAGGACAAAGUGGGAACUCUGGAUAAAGACGUUUGCCCGAUACUCAGUAGCGCUUGUGCUGGUAGGAUCGCAAGACAGCCGCUGACCCCCGUGAAAUCAUAGCACCAUCUGCUGGGGUAAUGCACACCGCGCAUCGUUACAACCCGUGAUCACAUCUGAAGCUGUAAGCUGGUAUUACUUUCAGCUAUCCCAUUUCUCUGUGUAUCCUUUUCUGCAUCACGCUGAGAAUUUGUCUGUACCUUAACUUUAUUUGGCUUGCAGAGCUGCCAGACCUUGUUUCACAGCUUGAGUGCAGCGAUGCAGUCCGUGGCUGGGACACAUCUCACAUAGCAGUGCCAGGAGACCCAGCCAGGAAAACAUCUUCCAUGCAGCAGGGCAGUGCCUCUCCAGUUGUCCCUGUUUGUGGCAGCACAGGAUCUGUGCAUUGCUGCUUCUGUGGUACAGACCUGAAUGCAGCUGAUCAGGCAUUACAUCAGUCUUGGCAGCUUUCACACGUGUACUUCCUCUCUUUGGCAUGUUACUUUAUUUGUAUAUUCCAGAGUCUGUUCUGUGGGAUUGUUUCCAUUCUCUCUAGCUUGACCGAGCCACAAUUCAUACUGUGUUGUCUUUUUCAUCUUAUCUUUCUUUGUGCUGAAACAGGAAUUGUUCCAUUAGGCAUGCAAAAAAAAAAAACCAACAACAACAACAAAAAAAACACCCCAAUAUGUUUGCAGUCAGUAAAAGGCCCAAGCAGCUUUGAAGAGGAUGAAGACCACAAUAUUCACAACGAAGUCCCUGCAGUUUUAAGGUUCAAUAGAACAUAUUGCGAGCAUUGAACUUGUAUGAUACAUAGCUGAUGUGUACAGAUUAAAGCUAAUACAAUGUUUACUUUUCAUUUGUAAAAUUAAACAACUCAAAUUUUUGCUAGGAAUGGCCCAAUAUUCUUGUUACUAACAAUAACAACUAUACAAAUAUGACAAGGCUUCAUCGCUUAUAUGCUUAUAAAACAGGAGGAAAAAAAAGAGUAUGUUGGCAUUAACCAAUUUUUUCAUGCAAGCAUUGCAAACUACAGGGUUGAUUUAUUUGUUACUUUGCAGAAGUGAUGAAAACAAACACUGCUGCUUAGGCACCUUCACAAUCCUAAGACAGAUCAUGUGCCAGCUCUUCCAUGAGCAAAAUAUAGAGAACUGAAGCUGUUGGGCAUCCUGGUGUUAAGCAAACUGCUGACAUUGUACUGAGGUUAUUUUAGUCAAAACCAAGUGAGAGGCAUCUGAUGGGAACUCAGAUGAGAUUAAUUGGGUAGAUUAAAGAAAAAAAAAAAGCUACAAUAAAACAUCAUCCCAAGAAAAAUCAAAAUGGAGAGAACCACAUACAGACAAGAGAGCUUGGCAGUCCUGGAAGACUUGCUGGUCUCUGAGGUUUUCCUGCUAGGCUGUGUAGGCACGACUGCUGUCCACACUCACUGGCUGUUGCACUCCUUUCCAAAAUCAUGAGUACAUCUCCGUUGGUCAAAUUAAAGCAUUAAUUCUACAUAGGUAAUUGUUGUUGUCUCUUCUCUCUUGUUGCUUUUUGUGGGGAAUGGACUUGGACUUAAUGACAGUGAGACAACAAAGGCUUUCCUGUUUCCUGCUGCACUGUGAGGGAACUAUGGGAUGGGUUGUGUAAUGACCCAGAAAGACAGGGCGGAGGGAAAACAAAUCCAGGGCAGCACAGUGAGGUGUAGUAUGGCCCUGCUAUUUUCUUCUCUUUCUCUUAUGCCUUCCCAAAACUCUAAGAUAGCAGCUGCUCUCCACUGCCAUGUUACAUUUAUUCCACUGACUUGAUGGAAAUUAACUUUUGUCCUGCUCUCUCCUUCUAGCCCUGAGUGAGAGCUGAACUAAUGGCAGGAUUCAGAGACUUGAAUCCAAGAGCACAGCCUUGUCAACUGAAACUUGUGUGUGCUGCAACAACUCGUGAAAAGCACUGAAAUCGAAGAAGCUACUUGCAAAUUAUGCUGCUGCUCUGAUGCAUUUGUACAUCAAGGUGGGAUAGCAGGGUCUCCAACGGUUCAACCAACCAGGAUGUCCUUGUGACUGCAGACAGUGCUGUUCCUCUCGCCACAAAGUUAAGCAAUGGAGGUAACCUGCCACAGGAUGCAAAAGCUCCUUACAGGCCCUAGAUAGGGAUCAUUAAAGCUGGAAGAUUUUUGCUGAAAGAGGCAGAACAUCAGCAUUCAGAAAGUACUCAAGCUGAGGGAGCCCAUACAGAAGGAGCUGCGAUCUUCAGCCCAGUAACAACGUUUCAUUCAAACAUCAAACCAAACGCUCAUUAUUCGAAGGAUGCUAAUCAAAUAAGCAAAUAAACGCUGCUGAAGAGUUGGCCUUCUACAGAAGCUCUGUGCAUACUGGGUGAGUAAUUUCUAAAAUGAGUAGAUUUGGAUUUGCUGCUGUUCUGUUUUCUUGUAUAUGUGAACUUCACCAUUUCACUUGGUCUACCACUGCCUUAGUUUCCUGGCAACACAGACUAGCCUGUUCCAGCAGGCUGUGGUGUCUACAUAAUGUCCUUCAUAAGGUUUACUGUUUCUGAAAUAGCAUCUGAGAUUAUCCAAUACAAAAUACUGAAACGUAAAGCAUCACUAUCACACAUCUAACUAACAAACAAAAAAAAACCCAACCAAGAACUCUAUACUAAUUACUCUGUAAAUAACUGAUAAACGUACUACAUAGCUGAUACAUAAUUAUAUGUAUCAGUUUGCUGAUGAUACGAAGUUGGGAGGAUUGGCUGACAUGC